ACUCGGAGUGCUGCCAUCUCAGCGUCAAGUGGCAAGUUGUCGACUGUCAGCGCGCAGGAGAUGACAUCUGGUCUCCAGAAGAAUAUAUGCUGCUCCUUGAUGGGCACGUUGUGGCAACUGCACCAGAGUUCGACGUCGCCCUCCGCAUGCUGUUUGCCAGCUACUUUUCAUUCCACAUUUGCUACGCCCAAGAAGUCUCAUCUACGCUUGAGUUCAUCCAGAGGGCACUUUUCGGCAUCAAUCCUGACCGUGGCAGCAAGGGCAAAAAUGGGAGAACGCAAGUGAACAAACGAGUGCUCAACCUGUUUCAACGAAUAACGGAGUCUCAGUGGAACAUAUAGGUAAGUCUAUUGUGCUCUGUGACCAGUUCGCGGUUACGGCAGAGCAGUAACAAUAAAAUACAGCACACA
rnacentral:misc_RNA from 1 species